rnacentral:rRNA from 1 species
AUGGCGUGGUGGUCGUCGGCGUGGUGCUUGGCUGUUUAUCUCGGCGGGAAUGUCAGCGGCGUGUGGCCUCGGUGCCAGGCAACGAGGCGGAUUUUUUGCGGAUGUGCUUCGGGUGGUGCGAGCCAGGGCUGCAUGCUGAAGGCUGAUCUAGAUAAAAGAAAUGUUGUCAGGCGUCGGCAGCAUGCUGCAUGCUUGGUGAUGGCCUGCGGCACCUUUUUGUGCCGUGUUAACAUCAUAUUCAUGUAUAGUGUAUAUUUGGCCAAUACUUGCGUUGGGCAAGCUCACUGGACAGUUAGACUUGAAGCAACCUUGAUAUCCAUUAGUAGUAUUAUUGAUGUUGAUACAGCAGCCUUCGUUUGUUUGAAGGUAGUUGUCCUGUUUGGUGUGUACAUCAAGAGACUCCUCCUGCGGAAGCCGCCAUGUGGCUGUACUCCUUCGAUUAACGUAAGCUAUAAGAAGACUCUCGAGGGUGCUUUAGCAUGUGCUUAUGCGACUCUUUCGCUGGCCAAGACCACUGUUGAGGGCGGUAGCGGCCGGAGGUCUCGGCGGCGAGCGGCCGCAGCGCGGAGGAGCGUGGUGUCCUUCGGCGGCGAUUCCACCGAUCCCCUUCGCCUCCGGUGGCUGAUUAGGUGUCGGCUUCCUGAUGGGAACACGGAUCUGUCCACAGAGGCUAGGACGAAGCGGAAUAAAGGGAUCUCUUCGGCCUCUUCCUCGUCCUGCCGGUGUGGCCUGUGUAGAUGGCGCCAGGCCGGCGAGGAGGCUGCGGCCAGUCCAGGGUCUCAUGAGCACGGGCAGGUUCCCUGGCCGUGGCUGGGUGAUUCUUCCAGCUCACAAAGGCCAUGUAUGGCGAUGGUGCUCCAGACGCCCUUGUAUGUUUGGGCUAUUUUGGUUUUACUUCCAUUUUUUGCAGAGGCUGUAGAUAGAAGAGAUCAUGAGGCUGAACAUCCUGUCCAAUCAGGUUAUGUUUGGCCAUUGGCAUGCAUAUUGAUGCGCCAUGCAUCUCCUUUCAUCAUGAUGGUCAGCGACCGGGUCUUCGCCGCCGGAGCUGUUCAGUAUCACCUACUCUCGGACUACGUCAUAGAUUUGUGCAUUGCACCAUAUCAUUUCACUAGCUGGGUGAAGCUCGGCGAGAGAGGCCCUACAGUUUACAAAUAUUCGUGGAGCUCUCACAGUGGCAGACAGAGAGAGGAGCUACUCCAGCAUUGCACGGCUGACAGCAAGUGA